GACGAACGCUGGCGGCGUGCCUAACACAUGCAAGUUGAGCGACGAACCAGGGCUUGCCCUGGGGCAAAGCAGCGAACGGGUGAGUAACACGUGGGUAACCUACCCCGAUAACCGGGACAACCCGAGGAAACUCGGGCUAAUACCGGAUGUGCUCACUGGACUUCGGUUCAGUGCGUAAAGGCAGCUUCGGCCUCCGUAUCGGGAGGGGCCCGCGGCCCAUUAGUUUGUUGGUGAGGUAACGGCUCACCAAGACCGCGAUGGGUAGCUGGUCUGAGAGGACGAUCAGCCACACUGGGACUGAGACACGGCCCAGACUCCUACGGGAGGCAGCAGUGGGGAAUCUUGCGCAAUGCGCGAAAGCGUGACGCAGCAACGCCGCGUGGGUGAAGAAGGCCUUCGGGUUGUAAACCCCUUUCAGGAGGGACGAAGGUUCGGCGGUGAAUAGCCGGCCGGACUGACGGUACCUCCACAAGAAGCCCCGGCUAACUACGUG
rnacentral:rRNA from 1 species